AUGAUGAGUUACGAGGCACUCAGGUAUCUUCUGCAAUGGACAAAGAAGCUGAUGCUCCCAGUUCCAAUGAUGGGUAGCUGGUCGCUAUAUGUUUUGGAUGUCGAAGAAAGGGCAUUGUUAGUCAUGGACCCAUGCGAGACUUCAGAGCCGAUACAAGAGAUGCAGUACAGGCAUGAAGACAAUGCAAACUUCAUCCUAGCAGGACUUCAUCGGUGCAUACACAAGAACAUCCCUGGGUGGCAUGUGCCGGCUAAGGGCUUGAGAAUCAAUUACAAUGUGGGCAUGCAUGAUAGCUGCAAGAUGGAGGAUAGUUGGCUGCACAUUGUGAACUACUUCAGUGAGUACACCAGGCUAUAUCUUCAGACACAACUAACUCCUGCGCAGCUGACCUAUAUGCGCCAUCAAUUGCAUAUGAGGUUAUGUCCAUGA
rnacentral:rRNA from 1 species